GCUUGGAGGUUGUGCCCUUGAGGCGUGGCUUCCGGAGCUAACGCGUUAAGUCGACCGCCUGGGGAGUACGGCCGCAAGGUUAAAACUCAAAUGAAUUGACGGGGGCCCGCACAAGCGGUGGAGCAUGUGGUUUAAUUCGAUGCAACGCGAAGAACCUUACCUGGUCUUGACAUCCACAGAACUUUCCAGAGAUGGAUUGGUGCCUUCGGGAACUGUGAGACAGGUGCUGCAUGGCUGUCGUCAGCUCGUGUUGUGAAAUGUUGGGUUAAGUCCCGCAACGAGCGCAACCCUUAUCCUUUGUUGCCAGCGGUCCGGCCGGGAACUCAAAGGAGACUGCCAGUGAUAAACUGGAGGAAGGUGGGGAUGACGUCAAGUCAUCAUGGCCCUUACGACCAGGGCUACACACGUGCUACAAUGGCGCAUACAAAGAGAAGCAAUCUCGCGAGAGCUAGCGGACCUCAUAAAGUGCGUCGUAGUCCGGAUUGGAGUCUGCAACUCGACUCCAUGAAGUCGGAAUCGCUAGUAAUCGUGAAUCAGAAUGUCACGGUGAAUACGUUCCCGGGCCUUGUACACACCGCCCGUCACACCAUGGGAGUGGGUUGCAAAAGAAGUAGGUAGCUUAACCUUCGGGAGGGCGCUUACCACUUUGUGAUUCAUGACUGGGGUGAAGUCGUACGG
rnacentral:rRNA from 1 species